rnacentral:rRNA from 1 species
CAGUAGCCGCGGUAAUACGAAGGGGGCUAGCGUUGUUCGGAUUUACUGUGCGUAAAGCGCACGUAGGCGGACUUUUAAGUCAGGGGUGAAAUCCCGGGGCUCAACCCCGGAACUGCCUUUGAUACUGGAAGUCUUGAGUAUGGUAGAGGUGAGUGGAAUUCCGAGUGUAGAGGUGAAAUUCGUAGAUAUUCGGAGGAACACCAGUGGCGAAGGCGGCUCACUGGACCAUUACUGACGCUGAGGUGCGAAAGCGUGGGGAGCAAACAGGAUUAGAUACCCGUGUAGUCCCUGUCUCUUAUAA